GACAUUGACGCAGGCAAUCACGACAUGCAAACGCCCAUGGUUACGCACUUGGGCGAAACGAUCGAGCGCACAAUGGCGGGAACAUUUUGAAUACUAGUAGCUGAUAGGCAGGUGAAUGUGGAUGUAUUUUGCCGAAAGGAAUGCAAGUAGGACCGCCUUUGGAAACAACAAUGGCAUUUUAAAUGUCCGACCAAAGCGGCACACGACAACAGAAUUUAAACACCGGAUAUUUGUUCUCAAACUGUAUACCAGCCAGGAUUUCUUCUCCCGAAAUUGUGCCUAUAUCAAGGGGAAAGAUGAAAAGUGCACUGUGGUGAAAACCAGUCUUUCUAUUCAGGUCAACUUUUGGGGUGGACUUUUCUUAUAACCAGAGUCCCAGAUCUCAUUCCUGCAGUGAUAUCACCCAAUUGCUGUUGAGCUAAAGGGACAAUGAAUUAACUGGUGUCGGCCAAGACUUCCACCCCUUCGAUCCUGACCCAGAAUUGGAAGUGGAUCGAACCGCCAAUCAUGCAUGCAGUCAGGUUAGUGAGGAACUUGGAAAGAUUUCACCAGGAGGUGAUGGCGGGUCAGGCGAAUAGGAGAAUGUUGCUUAGAAGGCAUCCGGAUGUGAUGUGGUUAUCUAUUACGGUGAGAUGAGGUCUGACGUCAUUGUUGACUGGCCAAACUUGAGAGCUAGGACCCAGUUUUAUAAUCAGACAGCAAGGUGAUUUUUUAUCAAACGAACUAUACUAGGUAUCAGUAUCUGAACAUUGGAACAAGUAUGUGGAAAAAAGGCCCAAGUUACCAAACGUAAAUGUCUGACAUUGCAUCUCUUCUACAUGUAGUCCCUACAGGCUGGGACGCCCAAAAGGAGCGCCCGAUUUUUUAUUGAUUUUUAAAGGAAUUAGGUUGAAUAAAAAAAGGUUUGCCGUAAAUGGUGGUUUUGUAUAAUAUUGCAUUCAUAACUUGUGGGUAUAAAAACUCUCUCAUACUGGAAAUAUGAUAAUAUUACUCUCUUCUUUUACAGAUUUCCUCAUGCUUUGUGGAUAGUUUGUCAGAAAGAUACAAACAUCAGUUUGUAAUAUGAGUUUUAUCAUGAACAAACGACAAGAGUGUAACAAAAAGAGAAAUAAAAUUAAAAUUAAGAAAAUGUAAUGUUUUGCUUAAAGGACAAGUCCACCCCAACAAAAUGUCUACUUGAAUAAAAAGAGAACAAUCCAACAAGCAUAACCCUGAAAAUUUCAUAAAAAUAGGAUGUAAAAUAAGAAAAUUAUGACAUUUUAAAGUUUCGCUUAAUUUCAUAAUGCUCAUCCUGGACGGUAUGCAAAUGAGGAGACUGAUGACGUCAUCCACUCACUUUUUCUUUUGUAUUUUAUUAUAUGAAAUAUGAAAUAUUCUAAUUUUCUCCUCAUUGUCAAGUGAAACAACGAUUAAUUCCUCCCUGAACAUGUGGAAUGAGCAUUGUUUAAUACUAUAUGGUUCAGUCAAGUUGGUCCUAAUCAAGUUGUCAAAUAUGUAAAAAAAAAUGAAAUAUUGUAUAAUUCAAACAAAAAAGCAAAAAAAAAUAGUGAGUGAUGGACAUCAUCAGCUGACUCAUUUGCAUGUCACCGAGUCGUGUAUAGCUGUUUUGUGAAAAAAAACGAAACUUUAAAAUGUCAUAACUUUCUUAUUUUACAUCCGAUUUUGAUGUAAUUUUCAGUGUUAUGCUAGUUUUGAUUUUUCUCUUUUUAUUCAAAUCAACAAUUUUCUUGGGUGGACUUGACCUUUUAAAAUACAGGUUUUUCCUUCUCAAAAAUAGUGUAAACCUAAAGGUGACUUGAUACUCUCUAUUGUAGCUCCAAAUCAUCCAAUAGUGUGAGGAAAUACAUAUUAUCUAAUAGUGAUCAAAGGGGAUGUCAUGUAGCAGAGAUGCACUGCCAGACGUUUGAUGUGGUAAAUGUGGGGUUCCUUUAUGUUCCGAAAUUCGGAUACUGGUACCUCUUUCGUUUUAAAGGGGAAUGAAACGUUUGAAACAAGUUGGCUUUUGUGGAAACAGAAAAAUCAAAGAAUAAGAUCAAAGCAAGUUUGAAAAAAAUCGGACAAAUAAUGAGAAAGUUAUGAGCAUUUGAAUAUUGCGAUCACAAAAUUAUAUGGAGAUCUUCCUAUUGGCAAUGCGACAAAUAUUUGUGAUGUAAUAUGUGAACAACUUUCCCUUUGAUGAACUAUAAAAUACCCUGAAAAUGUCAAUUUUUGCUCUUUUUAGGGUGAUACAAACUCUUUAUCCAUAAUGUAUUUUUUGAAAAUCUGUAUUACAUGCCCUCCUAUAGAAAGAAAAUGUGAUCUAUAUACUAUAUCUAUAUACUGAUAGAUGUGAUAAAAGAGGCAUUUUAAGUGAAAUAUAUAGAAAAGUAAUGGGAAGGUUGUUCACAUGUGACACCACACAUCUAUGUCGCAUUGUCAAUGGGAGGAUCUACACUACAAUAAUGAUCUAAACUUCAAAUGCUCAUAAAUUUCUUAUUAUUCAUUCAAUAUUUCUCAAACUUUCGUUUACCCGUUUCUUUGAUUUUUCUGUUUUUGCCCAAGCUAUCUUGUUUCAAGGGUUUCAUUUUCCUUUAAUCAAAAGUCCUCUAAAUUACUCCUCUACUAUACUACGAGGAGUAGAACGUUGAUGGUGGACUUUGAUCGACGAAUCUAUAGCAUGUUGAUACCUUGGUUUGAAAGUUCAUCCGAUGCAGUCACAUCAUUUAGGGGUUAUCAAGGAUCCAGUUGGUCUUUAGCCGUCCCGAGAUCGACGACCUUUACGUUACACAACCAUGACAACGGAAAUGUUCCCGGGACGGUAUAUUAAACUAUCAGGUCGGCAACUCCUCAAGCAAAAUAAUAAUUACAUGGAAAUAGGAAAAUGAAACUGGCACAACGCUUAAAACUUCAUCAAAAUUUGAUGUAAAAUAAGUAAGUUAUGACGCAUUAAUUUUUUUUUUUUUUUGGGGGGGGGCUUAUUUUUCACAAAACAGUUAUUUGCACAAUGACAUCACCAACUCACUAUUUCUUUUGUAUGGUAUUUUAUGAGAUAUCUCUCUUCAUUAUAAUGUGAUACAAUGCAUGAUUCACUGGCGGAUCCAGGGUGGGGGGCACAGCCGGCCCGUGCCGCCCCCCCCCCACUUUGAGAGGCACAAUUAGAAUUUGUAUGUAAGAAUGCCGUUAAAAUAGAAGUGUGCCCCCUUCCCCUUUUGAAAGUGAAUACCCCUUUUUUUUGCUUGUCAGCUUUUUUAAAUUUUUGGUUAAAACAUUUUUUUUGUCAAAUUUUUCCUCGGGAAUAUGUGUCCCCUCUUAUAUGUGUCCCCUCUUUCGAAAAAGCCUGGAUCCGCCCCUGGCUUGAUUCCUUUUUGAAAGUGAGGGAUUAUCAUGGUUGCAACCUUUAUCUUAUGAUUCCGUUACUCUCUUGUCAAAUCUUUCACUACAAAAAGUAAAAAGAAAUAGUGAUGAGUGACAUCAACGACGUUUUUAUUUUCACAUCACUUUAUUGUGCAUAAUUGUUCUUUGACAAGUAACAAGUAUUACCGUGUAAAACACUACCCUUAACAAGUAUUGGAAACAAAACGAUACCCUUGGCAAGUAUUCCCUAAAUUAUUGAACCCCUAAACAAGUACAGCGAUAUUUUUAUUUGUUAUAUGUCAAAGGACGUCGGUUUUACCUUGACCUACAUCAUUGGGUUUAGUACGGCCCCACCUCCCACACCUCGCGCAAAUCGGACUCUAAACAUGUAGAUCUAGUGUUGACUGUUUGGGCAAAAAUUUACAUCCUUAAAAAAACAUUUGUCUUUUUAUACCCUAUCAAAUUUGACCCUAAACACAAAGCUUUCCUAGCGAAAUAGAUCCCCUUUUUUCAUUUUGUGUGUGUUUUUGACACCCUUAUUACGUUACGUACGUAACGUACCCUAAGCUUGAAAAAGACAUCAUUUUUACGUGGUUUUUUUUGGUCGCGCAUGGUAUCCACUCGUCAAUGUAAGUGGCCCCCCGGGCAUCACUCACAAAAUGAAAGGCGCUUGAUCUCAACAAAAACUGACAAGCACCCCACAAAUUACUUUCCGACCCCCCCCCUCCUGGAUCCGCUCCUGGCACAUUAUCGAUUGGUUGUAGG